rnacentral:tRNA from 1 species
ACCUGGGUGGCUCAGUCGGUUGAGUGUCUGACUUCAGCUCAGGUCAUGAUCUCACAGCUCGUGAGUUCGAGCCCCACGUCGGGCU